GUGAGGAAUUUUCCGCAAUGGGCGAAAGCCUGACGGAGCAAUGCCGCGUGAAGGAUGAAGGCCUAUGGGUUGUAAACUUCUUUUCUCAGAAAAGAAUUAUGACGGUAUCUGAGGAAUAAGCAUCGGCUAACUCUGUGCCAGCAGCCGCGGUAAGACAGAGGAUGCAAGCGUUAUCCGGAAUGAUUGGGCGUAAAGCGUCUGUAGGUUGUUUAAAAAGUAUUCUGUCAAAGAUUAGGGCUUAACCCUAGAUAGGCAGAAUAAACUUUUAAGCUAGAGUUUGGUAGAGGCAGAGGGAAUUCCCGGUAGAGCGGUGAAAUGCGUAGAUAUCGGGAGGAACACCAAAGGCGAAGGCACUCUGCUGGGCCAAUACUAACACUGAGAGACGAAGGCGAGGGGAGCAAAUGGGAUUAGAUACCCGUGUAGUCC
rnacentral:rRNA from 1 species